rnacentral:rRNA from 1 species
AGUAAAUAGAUACCCUGGUAGUCCGCGCCGUAAACGAUAAGUACUAGGUGUAGGAGGUAUCGACUCCUUCUGUGCCGCAGUUAAACACAAUAAGUACUCCGCCUGGGAAGUACGGUCGCAAGAUUAAAACUCAAAGGAAUUGACGGGGGCCCGCACAAGCAGCGGAGCAUGUGGUUUAAAUUCGAAGCAACGCGAAGAACCUUACCUAGACUUGACAUCUCCUGAAUAGUGUAGAGAUACAUGAAGCCCUUCGGGGCAGGAAGACAGGUGGUGCAUGGUUGUCGUCAGCUCGUGUCGUGAGAUGUUGGGUUAAGUCCCGCAACGAGCGCAACCCUUAUUACUAGUUGCUACCAUUAAGUUGAGCACUCUAGUGAGACUGCCCGGGUUAACCGGGAGGAAGGCGGGGA